GAGUACGAUAGAGGGAGGUAGAAUUCAUAGUGUAGCGGUGGAAUGCGUAGAUAUUAUGAAGAAUACCAGUGGCGAAGGCGGCCUCCUGGAUCUGUACUGACACUGAGGUGCGAAAGCGUGGGUAGCGAACAGGAUUAGAUACCCUGGUAGUCCACGCCGUAAACGAUGACAACUAGCUGUUGGGAGGCAAUGCCUUUCAGUGGCGCAGCUAACGUUUUAAGUUGCCCGCCUGGGGAGUACGGCCGCAAGGCUAAAACUCAAAUGAAUUGACGGGGACCCGCACAAGCGGUGGAGCAUGUGGUUUAAUUCGAUGCAACGCGAAAAACCUUACCUACUCUUGACAUACUUGGAGGCUCUUGUAAUGAGAGCGUGCCUUUUGGAACCAAGAUACAGGUGCUGCAUGGCUGUCGUCAGCUCGUGUCGUGAGAUGUUCCGUUAAGUCGGAUAACGAGCGCAACCCUUACCCUUAUUUGCCAGCGAUUCGGUCGGGAACUAUAAGGGGACUGCCGGUGAUAAACCGGAGGAAGGUGAGGACGACGUCAAGUCAUCAUGGCCCUUACGAGUAGGGCUACACACGUGCUACAAUGGGGAAUACAGACGGACGCUAAGCCGCGAGGUGGUGCUAAUCCUAAAAAGUUCUUCGUAGUCCGGAUUGGAGUCUGCAACUCGACUCCAUGAAGUCGGAAUCGCGAGUAAUCGCGGAUCAGCAUGCCGCGGUGAAUACGUUCUCGGGUCUUGUACACACCGCCCGUCACACCAUGGAAGUGGAUUGCACCAGAAGUAGAUAGUCUAACCUUAGGGAGGGCGUUUACCACGGUGUGCUUCAUGACUGGGGUGAAGUCGUAACAAGGUAACCGUA
rnacentral:rRNA from 1 species